ACCACACUUUAUUCCAAACAAUGAGCAAGAACACCAUGGCAAAUUAUAAAACCAUCCCAAAUGAACUUUUGAACCAGACCAACACUGCCUUCAUGAGAAAGGGAGAGGCUGGUGACUGGAAGAAUCAUUUCACUGUUGCUCAGAAUGAAAUGUUUGAUACCCAUUACCAGAAAGAGAUGUUGGGGACAAGCCUACAUUUCAGGACUGAGAUCUGAGGCCUACAGAAACAAUUCGCCUGUCUUUUUAUACUAUGAAUCUAUGAAAGUUAUUUUAAUAAAGCAAAUGUGGAACAAAA